ensembl:lncRNA
UCUGAGCAAUGGUUCUGAUGGUUCUGAGCAAUGGUUCCGGGUGUGUCUUCUGUCCGGCCCAUCAGCUAUAUCCUCCCCCCCCAGGUCCUCUGCAGACAUGGCUAAGGAUGUCCCUGGACUCUGACUGCGUGCUGCUGUCAUUGAGGGGCUCCAGGACGUCCUGCGUCCUCCAAAGCGAGGACGAGAAGGAUGACCCCCCCUGGAGCGGGAGAGGAGAGUGUCCUGGAGAUGCUGAGCUGCUCCAAGUUCUCCGGGCUGGAGACAUGGCUCUGCAUGCCGUCCUCCUUACUGCUGCCCAGCGGCCCGGACCUCACCCCCACCUCCUCCUCUUCACAUGCAUCCAACCAGCCGACCUCCUCUGCCUCAUCCUCCUCAUCCUCAGCCUCCAACUGCCGUCGCUCCACCUGCAGCGAUCCAGGAGAGACGCUCAGGUCGUGGGACGGCGACUCCUCCCUCCCCCCUCCUGCUCUCCUCCCAGUCUCCUCCACCCCCGCUGGACAGUCCUCCUCCCCCCCCUCCUCCUCCUCCGCCGGGGGGGGGCAUCAGGAAGCGUCGGCGCCUUGCUGCCAGUCCCGGAGGACUCCACUGGAACUCUGCAGGUUUGGUGCAACGGGACUGGUCACCUGACCCGUCUCCGGUGUCGGGGGAGAACGCAACAGCAGGACGAGGGGCGAGCCCCCCCCCUGGUGCAGGUAGGCGGGGCCACGUGGGGGGCCGACCGGGCUGCCCUGAGACUCCUGAGUCGGCUGGAGAGAGGCAGGAAGAAGGUCCACGGCAUCCAGAGUCUGGGAACCACUGGCAGAUACGACUCCAGGAGGAAGUAAGUCAUCAUCAUCAUCAUCAUCAUCAUCAUCAGUCGGUUCUCUUUGAUCUUCGUGUAUUCUGAGAGCAAGAAGUCCUGAUGUGAAGAAGCAGGAGUUCUGGCCUCUGCUUUCAACAGCAACCGGAUUAAAUCGCCCUGCUUUUUGUUUUCCAUCUUCGCUCGGUGGGGUCGGGUGGAGGGGGGGUGGCUGCUGGUAGUAAAUAUUCUCUGGUACUAACAUGAAGUCACACCGAUGUCGAACUUGCUCUGACUAAAAGAAUUAAAGUGGUGGAUGAUGUUUGUUGAUUUCAGUCGUGAUGCUUCAGCCUCAUGUUUGGUCUCCUCGUCUGAGGAGACGCUGACAGCAUAUCAGACAAGAACAACAACAGCGUGAUGUUCAGAACAUUCAGCAGCAUCCGCGGCUUUAAUAACGCUCCACACACACCGAUGGGCCCAAGGCAGCCAUCAGGAAUAAUGGCCUCCGUCUACGCGUUGCCAUGGCGAUCGGGUGGAGGCGAUGAGCUCGGUGGGAGACUCUGAGGACAACUUCUGGUGUUUGUGGAUCCCAGAGCUGCUGGAGUGGAUUCUGAUAACGCGAAGCUCCAUAUAACAAUAAUCACAAAUGAGUCAACCAUUGGAAUAAAAAACUGUUUUAGUUUCAGCUUCCUCCACUCGUGCUUUUUAGAUUCCUACAGAUAUUUGUGUUAAUUUGAUUUAAUAACUUCUCUAAUGACCAGUGGAGGAUGUAUUUAAACAACUUUAACGUGUCAUCAUCACACAAAUCCGACUGAGCUGUAAACUCUGUAACUGCCUUAAUGUUGAUUUAAAACCGUCUUGUGGUUUAUUCAAUUACAAUAAUGGACUCAAACAUUUAGAUGGACAUUUGUUUAAUUAUCCAUUCAAAUCUUAAAUCAAACACCAUCUAAACAAAGUUAAUAAACUUUGGUACUAACUGUUGUCACAUUCUACCUCCUCUCAUUCUAGUUGGCUUCCUUUCCCCACGUCCUACUUUCUCUCCCGUAUACACACGUACAGACAAGUGCAGUAAAAGACUACACAAUAGUGCAAAAGAUGACAGUUUCAUAAUUUCAGUGCUCCAACUAUUUGAUUUACAUGGAAAUAUGCAGCUAUAUAUGUUUAUAUUUGCAUAUAGAUAUAAAUCUAUUCUAUAUAACGAAUAUAUAAAUCUAUUUCUAUAUAUACAUAGUGCAUAGCUAUAUAAAUCUGUAUGUAUUAAUGUAUACAGGCGUGUUUUACUUUCGUAAAAGGUUCUCCUUCACCUGUUGCUCCUCCACGGUAACCAUGGAAACAGAGCCCAGCCAGCCAUCGCCACAAUUGUUUUAUUUCUCUCACCGCACAGAGAAGCCGUAACUCCUGAUGUUCUCCGUGUGUGGGCGUGUGCGUGUGUGUGUGUGAUGUUCAUCACUGUCGUCACGAUGUACAAACAUCUGGAUUUAUGGAGCUAAUAACACUUCACUUACUUACCUUUAGGGUUACUGAUUUAAAUCGUGUGUAGACAUCGACUACUUCAUACACUAAAUGCACCCUUAUAGACGGCAAAUACUUUUAUACCAUAAAUAAACUUAAAUAUCAUGAAUAUACUUAAAUAACACAAACACACAAACUGCAAAAUUAUCUAGAGUUAAAGUUAUUACAAUCAGCUGCUACUAUAUUUGAAUAAUUGAAUUUGGAUCUUUUCACCAUCUGAUGGUGAUCAAGAUGAUCAGAAGAAACACGUUGCAGCAGAGAAAAUAAAAUGAAUAUAUGAUAUACAGUAAUGAAUAUAUGAUAUACAGUAAUAAUAUAUGAUAUACAGUAAUAAUAUAUGAUAUACAGUAAUGAAUGAAUAUAUGAUAUACAGUAAUGAAUAUAUGAUAUACAGUAAUAAUAUAUGAUAUACAGUAAUGAAUAUAUGAUAUACAGUAAUUAAUAUAAUCUAAUGAAUGUAGUAAAUAUAAUACAUAUAUAAUAGAAUACAAAAAGAUAAAUCAAGUGUUCCAGCUGUGAAACACUGUCACCACCUUAUUUCCAUCUGUUCCAACUCUUGAUUGACACGUGUCUUUUCUCUCUGAAUCUGCCUUAAUUCACAACGUCACCCCGCGGCUGCUGCUCCUCCUCCACCCUUUACACCGCCUGUGUGUGUGUGUGAGAGAUUCAUGCACACACACGUCUCUCCAACAUCCUCUCUCUCCCUCAACCCAGUCUGUGCGUGUGUGUGCGUGUGUGUGUGUGUGUGUGUGCGGGUGUGCGUGUGUGCGUGUGUGUGCGUGUGUGUGCGUGUGUGUGUGCGUGUGUGUCUGUGUGUGUGCGGGUGUGCGUGUGUGCGUGUGUGUGCGGGUGUGUGCGUGUGUGCGUGUGUGUGCGGGUGUGUGCG